UGGGGAAUCUUGCGCAAUGGGCGAAAGCCUGACGCAGCCAUGCCGCGUGUAUGAUGAAGGUCUUAGGAUUGUAAAAUACUUUCACCGGUGAAGAUAAUGACUGUAGCCGGAGAAGAAGCCCCGGCUAACUUCGUGCCAGCAGCCGCGGUAAUACGAAGGGGGCUAGCGUUGCUCGGAAUUACUGGGCGUAAAGGGAGCGUAGGCGGACAUUUAAGUCAGGGGUGAAAUCCCAGAGCUCAACUCUGGAACUGCCUUUGAUACUGGGUGUCUUGAGUGUGAUAGAGGUAUGUGGAACUCCGAGUGUAGAGGUGAAAUUCGUAGAUAUUCGGAAGAACACCAGUGGCGAAGGCGACAUACUGGAUCAUUACUGACGCUGAGGCUCGAAAGCGUGGGGAGCAAACA
rnacentral:rRNA from 1 species